rnacentral:lncRNA from 1 species
CCUUUUCAAUAAUGUCAAACAUCAUUUGAAGUGUUCACAUAUUUCUCAGGAUCCAUCGGGAACAGGAAAUGGGAACAGAGGAAACAGGAGCAGAGGACUCAAAGGAGGCAUCAAGUUCUACCUCCAGAAUUAGAACAGAAAAGAGAAAGGAAAGCUGCAAACCCAGUCAAUCCUGGCUGUGCAUGCAUCAGAACCACACCAGCCUUCCACGUCUGAGAUCCCGAGACAAGCUGCCUCUGAACCAGUAAGAGCCUCUUGCUCCUUCCUUCUGAGGAGCUACCCGGUGCCUGAGUACUGACUACAUACUCUCCAGAGGCAAGUGUGUCUUCAGACUUUCCACCUUCAUAGGCACAGUCCAGACCUAGUCGUCUUAUUACUUCUUUGUUAUGGGGCACUUUGAAAUAUAGAACCACGCCUUUAUGUUCUAGGACACUGGUCUCUCCCCAUUCCCUCUAUGUUAGAACAGCACUAUUGGUGCUGUGACAUAGGUCACCCCCUCUCAUGGACUUACACACUCCCUUUUCCAUUUCUUUCAUUCCAUUCAAGAAAUUUUGAAACAAGUGAUUUCUAAUUAAAAUAUUCACCUACUUUAAUAAUUUCAUAAUAGUAACAAAUGACUUGUUAAACAUUCCAAUGUGUUGCAAUAUGGAUGUGGAGAACUGCUCUUCUGGAAAAAACAAUGAAGCUCGGAGAUGUUUGUGACUUGCAGAGCUGGUAAGGACACCCAGGCCUGCUGACCCCCAUCCAAGUGGCUUGUUCCUGAGCCUCACAGAUUGUACAGGAUUCUCAGAUUGUGCAAAUGCGGAAGUGGUGGUGGACAAGAGCCAGUAGCCUGUACAUUUUGGUACAUUUUCAGCCUCUGAAAAGUCAUUUUUCUGUCUUGUACUUCAGUGUCCUUUCUCUCAACUCCAGGCUGCCUUACUUCCUCCUGAAUACCCUUGACCCGUCUCUGCGCUUGAAUCUUUGUUCACCUCCCUCUCUGGGAUGAAAGGCUCUCUUCAAUCUUCAUUGGCUUCAAGACCUUGCAGGAGCACUACCUGCUCUCCGAAGCCUUUUCCCACUUCAUGUCUUCUAGCGAUCUCUCCCAUCUCUCCUGCAGCUGUACCAUCUCCAUCACUCAUUCAGGGCUUUCAGAACGUCCCUGAUGUUGUGAAAUCGUCUUUAAAAAUAUUGUCGUGUCCUCUUGUUGGGAUAUACAUUCCUUUUGAGGAGGUAUUGUGCCUUGUACCAUUAAUUAUUUUAUUUUCUUUUAUUAAUUAUUAAUUUAUUAAUGCAUUAUUCCAAUCUACCAAAGAUUUGAGAUAUCGUAUGAAAAUGAUAUAAUCUGAGAAGAUAAAAUUAGCAGUCAAGGUAGUUCAUGUGAAAGGGAAAACAAGAAAAGGAGACAUGUUUUCACAUCCCUAGCACCCCACAGAGUAUCUAAUCCAGGAACUCACUACUUUUUUGUUGCUUUUAGAGAAUCUGUGGAAGAAACACAAAAUCAAAAUAUUGAUCCAUUCUAUUUGUAUAUCACUUUAUAAUUUUAAACAUCUUUACAUCAUUGGGGCUAAGCAUUCUUAGGAAUAUAUUUUUGAUCUUUAUUUUAUAAAUAAGAAAAUUAAGACUCAGAGAUGUGAAGUGACUUGGCCAAGUUCACUAGCUGGUUAAUCUGGCAAGCUGCCACUGAAACCCAGUUUUCCUGUUUGAACAUGUUGUGCCCUACCUGCUGGAAGAACAAACUUUGUAUAACGUUUGUAUUUGUAUUAAAGACUAAGAGAUGUGGAGAACAAGAACAUUACUGAACCUGUACAGUGGGAUGAUACCAGCCAUCCGGGGGAGAGGAAGUAAUCAGUUAUUGGGUGAGAAACUAAGAUGGAUACCUCAUGUUUUUUCAAAAUCAAGUACUCUAUGUAAGAACUAAUGAACCCUAUAGAGAUCAUUCAUAGAGCAGAAUAACAGAGAAACUGAGAUAUGCCAGAGUGAGGCUGAGGGGCUGAGGACUCUAUGAAGAGUUACAACUUAGGGCCAUUAUAAAUUCAGGCCAUUUAUUACCACAAGCUUGUAACCCCUUGUCACUACUGUUGUUUGCAUUCAAUCAAUUUUAUAUUUAAUUUUAGAAUAUAAAAAAGCAAUGAAAAGGCUAACCAAAAAAAGGCUAAAAAAAAAAAAAAGCAAUGAAAAGACUACCAAAGAUGCAAUUCCUCACAAUCCGCUCUGAAUGAAAGUGAAGUAGAGGACAGACAUGGUGGCUUAUGCCUGUAAUCCCAGCACUUUGGGAGGCCGAGGCAGGCGGAUCACUUCAGGUCAGGAGUUCAAGACCAGCUUGGCCAACACGG